AGUGAACGCUGGCGGUAGGCCUAACACAUGCAAGUCGAACGGCAGCACAGUAAGAGCUUGCUCUUACGGGUGGCGAGUGGCGGACGGGUGAGGAAUACAUCGGAAUCUACUUUUUCGUGGGGGAUAACGUAGGGAAACUUACGCUAAUACCGCAUACGACCUACGGGUGAAAGCAGGGGAUCUUCGGACCUUGCGCGAUUGAAUGAGCCGAUGUCGGAUUAGCUAGUUGGCGGGGUAAAGGCCCACCAAGGCGACGAUCCGUAGCUGGUCUGAGAGGAUGAUCAGCCACACUGGAACUGAGACACGGUCCAGACUCCUACGGGAGGCAGCAGUGGGGAAUAUUGGACAAUGGGCGCAAGCCUGAUCCAGCCAUACCGCGUGGGCGAAGAAGGCCUUCGGGUUGUAAACCCCUUUUGUUGGGAAAGAAAAGCAGCAGGUUAAUACCCCGCUGUUCUGACGGUACCCAAAGAAUAAGCACCGGCUAACUUCGUG
rnacentral:rRNA from 1 species